GGGGUUGUGGCUCAGUGGUGGAGCGCUUGCCUCACAUGUGUGAGGCACUGGGUUCAAUUCUCAGCACCA
rnacentral:tRNA from 1 species